UAAACAUAUGCAUAUAUUUGAAUUCUCUCAGGCCUUUAGCACUAGCUGUAAAGAGUUUUUGUGACAAAUGCAAAUUUGAUUAAAUAAGCAUUAGGUUGUUGUUUUUAGCAGUGAAAAUUAUUUUGCCUUGGUGAAUGCAAAUCAUUUAGAAAAUUAUGCCAGAGAUGUCUAGAAUUUUAUUUCCUAGGCAUACAGAAAUUUCAUAGAUCUAUUGAAUGUCUUUUUAUAUAAUGAAAAUGAUAUAUAACACCUUGUUCCUUCUUACUAUUCCACGUCAUAUGCGUACGACAAAAUUGCUUAUAAUUUGUUGUAUUCAAAGAGAAGAGUAUAGAAGUUACAGAUGGCCUGCUUCCUGAAAUAGAGAAUUCUGCAAUCAUUUGCAAAGAAAAUAUCUUUUUUCUCCUCAUUAUGUUCUUUGCAAAUACAUGUUAAGUUUUUAAGUAUUUCAUAGAUGGUUUUAGGAUGGCAGAAGACAUUUAAAAAAAUUUAGUUGUCUUUCUUUGCAUGAAAGUUUUUUUGAGAAAUUUAUGAAGCAACUAAGAAUUGUGAUUAAAAUGAACAAAAUCGGAAGCAGACAGAAUUCUUCUUUACCUAAUGAUAUAAUGAAACUACUGUUCUUACAAAAUCAGCUGUGACCUCAGUUUUACAAAUCUUGUCAGAGUUCUGUGACUUCCCAUACUUUUGCCAGCAGCAUUUUGAGCUGUUUGCUAAUGUGCAGUUUAGUGUUUUUGCAGCUUUAUGAUGUGGCUUUCUUGGAGAAUGCAAGGAGAAAGCGAGAUGCAUUUCUUCAUUGCUAGCAAGUCUACCUGAAUUUCAGCCAAUUGCUAUUGGAGAUAAACUGAGCCUUUAUUUAAUUUGUUACUAAAUGGCCUUAAUAACUCGCUUAUAAUCAGACCGUAUUUACUUUGUUUUCAACUAGCUGUGUGCUGGCUCCAUAACAUUUAAUAGUAACUUCUUAUUUUCACAGUGCUGGGAGUAAUCAAGUAGUACUAGAAACCUCUUGUGCUGGGUAUCCAUUCCUGCAUUUUGACAGGACUGCUUGUACUCGUGAACUCAGACGUAUUCCUAAAUAUGGUAAAGUAGAACUGACUUCCUUUCCCUUCCUCCCACUCUUGCUCCCAGAAAUACAGGCAAUUCUGCAGCAGACUUGUACAUGCAAGACCAGUCCUGAAUGUCACAGGAGAAAGGCCAACAGAAACAGAUCUUCAGUGCUUCUGCUAAAUGUAACUGGAUUUAAAAGACUCUGUCCUGCACUACAUCUACAUACUUGUCAAACCUGUUACUGAAUUCAGUGAAAGGUCUAAGUAAAAUGAUGCUAUGAUGUCUUGUAACACUUCCAGGAAAAAGGGAAAAAAGGAAAAAUGAAGUAUUUGCCAUAUGGAAAUUACAGGGUAUAUCAUGACAGAGCUCACUGUCGCCUGUCAGCUUUGACACGGAUGCUGCCCAGUGGAAAGGACCCUCACGGGAGAUGAAUACUUACAGACAAAACCAGUCCGAAUGUUUCUGACAGGGCGGCACAAAGGAUUAAAGACAGAAACAGGAAACCCGCACACCUCUGCAUCUGAAAAGAAACCGCACCAGGGUAAGCUUCAAGUCGCUCGCUGCCUGGCUUCUAGCUUGGAUCCGCAUAGCAGCUACUGUUGUGCAGUAGUGUUUCCCUUUCUUAAAUCUGCUGUCCCAGAGCACAUCCAGCAUCACUAUGGUUCAGCUGUGAACAGCAGAGGAUCCCUUUGGAGCAGCUGGAUCUGGCUGUGAUCUGACAUGGAGCAGUGCCCUGUUACCAAACCUCGGCAUGUAAGCCGACUACAGAGUAAUGUCUUCUGAUUUUACGACUAGUUCCAUCUCCAAAUAUAAAGGUAGACAUGGACCUUUUUCCCAAUUCCCAAUCAGGAUCCAGAUUUUUACAGCAGAUCUUCAGAGACGCACAGAACUUGCAAAGCUAGAGUUGUCUUUGUGAAAUACAAGUGUAGUAUAAUAGUAAGUACAAUUAUAUGAAGUGGGACGUGCGUUAUUUCUGUAGUUAAAGGUGUUAAUGUAUUCUCAUACAUUUUUAUUAAAUGAAGUAAAAAAUUAAUGGCAAAUAAUUGUAAUAUUUUGUAAUGCAGUAUGUUGUGUUUGGAGUCGUUGGGUGGACGGAAGCACUUUUAUUUAAGGCAGCUCUCAGGUGCAAAACCAUCUUACCGGAGAUGUAACAGAAAUCUUUGCUGAUAUUAAAAGGAAAGAAGUGGACACAUUUCGGUACCUGCAAGUAGUCAGAGAGAGAAUGGUGUGGAGGACUUGAUCUCCAGUAGGUUUUUGAGCUCACUUGUUUGAGAGUCCGUUUGAUGUUAGUGCUGUCACAUCAACCAGAUUUUUAUUAAAAAGAAAGAAACAAAAGCAGUAUCUCAUGAGGCCUUUCAGGUUGGCAUCUGUGGAAUUAUCACAAACUUUUAUUACAUAAGCACUGAGCAAAUAGGGAUAACUCAGCAAACACGACUUAGAAUAUUUUCCAGAUUGCUCCUGAUUGGUUUCUUGUUUUGAUAUAGAAUUAGUUACCUUUACCAGCUUUGUACUUCUGAAAGGAAAGAAAGAAUUGGAAAGUUUAAAGAGGGACAAGUUAAUUUGUCGCAAUCACCUAUUUUCUACCUUGCCUGUAUUUCAUUCUUUUAUUAUCUCCAUCCAUGUGUAUUUAAUUUUGUCUUUUCCCUGGGCAAAUAGUAAAAUGUACUUUUUCAAACCCAGGUGUACCCAUAGAAUAGGCUAUCAUGUCCCUGGUUUUUGUGUUCAUCCUGUUUCCUGGGAGUUACUUGGAGUUUUUGUUUUUCUCAAGAAGGGAAACAUUUAUUCCACUUGCCAAGUAGAGAAAAACUAAUUACUUUGUUGAACAGCAUCUGAAUGGUAGUUUACAAAUACUGUCCUAUGAGCAUGUUUUAUCAACUCUCACCUCUUGACUAACACUGCAAGAAUGGCAACAGAGGGUUUUAUGAUUCAUGUUUUCAGUUGGCAAUAGAAGUAAAGUCAGACUGAUUUGUAACUCUUUUGGAAGUACUAUUUCAAGCUGUUUAUAUGUUCAAGAAGAGAUCACUGCACAGAUGAAGAUGUCUGCAUUCAAAACCAGAAUUCAUUUUUGUAACAGGUGACUUUCAUACUGUCUAAUUUCAGGUUGGUAAGUACCUGAAUUAGGAAUCAGUAGAUUCUCAAGAAAGUGUUUCUGAAUAUUUAAGUCAGCACUUUCUCUCCCAUCUGACAGUAUGAGCAGCUAUGGUCUUGUCUUAGGAGCCUCAAAAAUGAAUUCAACAAUUUGCUUAGUAUUUACAUAUAAACCAUUUUUUUUAAAAGAUUCUAUGUUUCACAGAAGUAUAAGUUUGUUCUUCAGAACAUCAGCCACAAAUUCUUGACUUCACAAGUUAACCUUCAUAGUAAGAUUAUACUUUUUUUUUUUUUCUUUUGGCAUAGAAUAUGAAAGUACAUUAAUUCUUCACCUGAAUUGUAAUAACUUCAAUUUACAAAUGUUGAGCUAAAACAGGUGGAUACUUUUCUUCAGAUUAGUUCAAAUAUCAGGAUACCAUUAAUAUAUCUCUGUGAAAAGAAUUUUUAUCAGUAACUGCAGCAUCUGGCAUCACCCUCAUGUGACUGAACAAAAAAAUGAAACGCUGUGGGCAGUCAGAAGGACUACCAAUGCUAGUGGGUUAGAGGACAAACCUGCUCACCCUUCCAUGUGCACUCUUCCACAUCGGUUAUGCAAAUAUUAGAACAGCCCCAUCAAUGACCUGUGGGGGAUCCUGGUAACUGAUAACCAGGUUUUAAAAGCCAGUGGAGGGGUGGAAUUGCCUUCACCAGAGCGACAGUGUCUUGAGAAGCCCAGAAACACCACAAGUUUAGGUUACAGGCUGAUACGCAAAUGCUCUAAUGAUGAACUUUUGAUGUCUUCUAAGAGGAAACUACAGUCAGUUUUUGUAAUUAAAUCAGGACAGUUAAAAAACUUAAGGGGAGACAGAAGACCGCUGUUUAGACUAACGCAAUCUUACAGAACAGUGAAAUGUCUAAACACUACUUGCAUUCAAUGCUAGCUGCCCAUCAGGCUCUCCUUAUCCAACACAGGCUAAGACAGCAGUCCUGUGCAAGAAGCAACAGUUUUUCACAUGUGAAGGAACCAAAGAAAGCUGAACAUGUUCAUGAGCAGGGCUGGGGUUGCGCUGCUGUGCCCGUGGUAUUUGCCAAUAGCUUGACAACAAAGUGUCACAAGAGUAGUACUAGAAAACUCAACAGCUGGCUCAGAAUUGCUCUGUUGCUCUGAGCGAUACCUAUAUACACUUCCUUUGUGUUUGAGCUCUCCUUUUCACAUUUUGUUACCAGGUCUUACACAUUUUUGUCUACUUUGUGCUUGCAUUUGGAAAGCAUAUCUGAUGUUCUGCCCAAAAACUGGCUUAAGAUAGGGUAGUUCAAACUGCUUUAAAGCACACAGCUUAUUUAGAUUUUUUACUUUAAGAAUGGAGCCAGAGAAAAUAGCUUUAACAAUAUAGAAGGUGGUGGAAGCCUCUGGAAACCGGAAAGAUCAGUGCUAAGGAAAUACAAGUAUCGCUUUUAUGGAAAUAUAAUUACACUGAAUGUUCCUUAUUUGUUUCAGGAGCAAUGCAACUGGGUGUGAUGGAGCAAAAGGCGUUUGUGACUAAUGUGAGCGAGGUCGGCAGCUCUGCGCUAGGAAAGGCAUCGUCACAGAAACGAUUUGCAUAAGUUUCAUCUACAGCCACUACGAAUGGCGAGGCAGCAGUGAGCAGUCCUUGCACACAGAUUCAUACCACCAUGGCAAAGGCAGGAGGGGCCCAGUGUGUCACCUGCAUGAACAGCUAGAAGUCACUGUAACGGAGUAAGAACGCUCCUAAAGAUCAGCAGGCAACAACUCAGCUGAUGAGUUUGCAACAAGUCGCUACUAACAUCUUUGGAGGAAAAUGCAAGACAGGAAGCAGUAAGUGCAAUGCCAUUGGACUUUUUUCCUUUUUUUUUUAUUUCUGUAUGCAAUGUAAUGUUUAGGCACGUUGCUUGGGACGCUUUCUAAAAUAAAUCAUUGGCCAUUGUUUAGAGUAUCCUUUUGGCUUUAAAUACUGGUCAGGAAAACAAAUGAUGUAAAAAUAAAUGAAUAUAAUUAUUACAGAAAUAAAAAUGGAUUUGCAUCUAAAAGUGCAGGAGGUGAAGUACUUUAACCCUUUCACCAGACAAUGUGGCAAUAUACAGAAUAUUGCUUCCGUUUGUUUGAGAAGGCUGUUGGAAUUGUACACUGACAUAGAAAAUUAUAAAUUACACAGAAUUAGUUUCCAUAAUCACUAUAUAUAUAUACACAAACCAGCUGCGAAAAAAACUGGUUUAGAACAUACAAAUGAAAGCCUCACACAGAUCAGUACAGUGAAAGUAACAAUUAACAUGCUCUGCUGCCAAAAUUGGUAUUAAAAGAACACUAUAUACUUUUAAAAUGCGUGUACUGUAAUUACAUUAGCAGCACGGGCAUUUCAUUUACUUGACUUGUCUAAGAGGAUCACAGCGUUUUAAAUACGCAGAUUGUUCUGAAAUGUUCCAUCGUGUAAUGCUGGGGAUUAAAGUAAAUCUUGGUGAAUGGGUUAAAAGGCAGGUGAAUCACUUAACACAACAAGCCAUGUGCACUUCAAAUAUUCUAGUGUUUCACCUGUAAGGUACUGUUUCAAGCAAACAAGACUUAACAGAACAUAUGGCUUUACAGUAACAUCAAUUUGUCAACUAAGUUGUAGCAAUAAAUACUUAAAAUCUCUACCAAUAGACUUACAUUUUUGAUCUGUUUU